rnacentral:rRNA from 1 species
GAUGAGAGUUUGAUCCUGGCUCAGAUUGAACGCUGGCGGCAGGCUUAACACAUGCAAGUCGAGCGGAGAUGAGGUGCUUGCACCUUAUCUUAGCGGCGGACGGGUGAGUAAUGCUUAGGAAUCUGCCUAUUAGUGGGGGACAACAUUCCGAAAGGGAUGCUAAUACCGCAUACGUCCUACGGGAGAAAGCAGGGGAUCUUCGGACCUUGCGCUAAUAGAUGAGCCUAAGUCGGAUUAGCUAGUUGGUGGGGUAAAGGCCUACCAAGGCGACGAUCUGUAGCGGGUCUGAGAGGAUGAUCCGCCACACUGGGACUGAGACACGGCCCAGACUCCUACGGGAGGCAGCAGUGGGGAAUAUUGGACAAUGGGGGGAACCCUGAUCCAGCCAUGCCGCGUGUGUGAAGAAGGCCUUAUGGUUGUAAAGCACUUUAAGCGAGGAGGAGGCUACUGAGACUAAUACUCUUGGAUAGUGGACGUUACUCGCAGAAUAAGCACCGGCUAACUCUGUGCCAGCAGCCGCGGUAAUACAGAGGGUGCGAGCGUUAAUCGGAUUUACUGGGCGUAAAGCGUGCGUAGGCGGCUUUUUAAGUCGGAUGUGAAAUCCCCGAGCUUAACUUGGGAAUUGCAUUCGAUACUGGGAAGCUAGAGUAUGGGAGAGGAUGGUAGAAUUCCAGGUGUAGCGGUGAAAUGCGUAGAGAUCUGGAGGAAUACCGAUGGCGAAAGCAGCCAUCUGGCCUAAUACUGACGCUGAGGUACGAAAGCAUGGGGAGCAAACAG